rnacentral:rRNA from 1 species
CUUCAAUUGCCGGCGACCGGCGCACGGGUGAGUAACGCGUAUCCAACCUUCCGUACACUCAGGGAUAGCCUUUCGAAGGAAAGAUUAAUACCUGAUGGUAUGAUGAGAUUGCAUGAUAGCAUCAUUAAAGAUUUAUCGGUGUACGAUGGGGAUGCGUUCCAUUAGGUAGUAGGCGGGGUAACGGCCCACCUAGCCAACGAUGGAUAGGGGUUCUGAGAGGAAGGUCCCCCACAUUGGAACUGAGACACGGUCCAAACUCCUACGGGAGGCAGCAGUGAGGAAUAUUGGUCAAUGGACGAGAGUCUGAACCAGCCAAGUAGCGUGAAGGAUGAAGGUCCUACGGAUUGUAAACUUCUUUUAUAAGGGAAUAAACCCUCCCACGUGUGGGAGCUUGUAUGUACCUUAUGAAUAAGCAUCGGCUAACUCCGUGCCAGCAGCCGCGGUAAUACGGAGGAUGCGAGCGUUAUCCGGAUUUAUUGGGUUUAAAGGGAGCGCAGACGGGUCGUUAAGUCAGCUGUGAAAGUUUGGGGCUCAACCUUAAAAUUGCAGUUGAUACUGGCGUCCUUGAGUGCGGUUGAGGUGUGCGGAAUUCGUGGUGUAGCGGUGAAAUGCUUAGAUAUCACGAAGAACUCCGAUUG